GUGCAAAUGAUGAGCACAUUAUGGUAUGAAAAAUUAAUGAUACUGUAAACGCUUUCUGAUGUA
rnacentral:snoRNA from 2 species